AGGACGAACGCUGGCGGCGUGCUUAACACAUGCAAGUCGAGCGGAAAGGCCCUUCGGGGUACUCGAGCGGCGAACGGGUGAGUAACACGUGAGUAAUCUGCCCCUAGCUCUGGGAUAGCUCCGGGAAACCGGGAUUAAUACCAGAUACGACCACUUUAGACAUCUUCUGUGGUGGAAAGAACUUCGGCUAGGGAUGAACUCGCGGCCUAUCAGCUUGUUGGUGAGGUAACGGCUCACCAAGGCGACGACGGGUAGCCGGCCUGAGAGGGCGACCGGCCACACUGGGACUGAGACACGGCCCAGACUCCUACGGGAGGCAGCAGUGGGGAAUAUUGCGCAAUGGGCGAAAGCCUGACGCAGCGACGCCGCGUGGGGAUGAAGGCCUUCGGGUUGUAAACCCUUUCAGCAGGGACGAAGCGAAAGUGACGGUACCUGCAGAAGAAGCGCCGGCUAACUACGUGCCAGCAGCCGC
rnacentral:rRNA from 1 species